UGUGUCUUCGAGUCGUUGAUUUCACACUGCCGAGAAAAGCCUCUAGAUAGAAAAUAGGUGCCCGUACCGCAAACCGACACAGGUAGUCAAGAUGAGAAUUCUAAGGUGAGCGAGCGAACUCUCGUUAAGGAACUCGGCAAAAUGACCCCGUAACUUCGGGAGAAGGGGUGCUCUUUAGGGUUAACGCCCAGAAGAGCCGCAGUGAAUAGGCCCAAGCGACUGUUUAUCAAAAACACAGGUCUCUGCUAAACCGUAAGGUGAUGUAUAGGGGCUGACGCCUGCCCGGUGCUGGAAGGUUAAGAGGAGUGGUUAGCUUCUGCGAAGCUACGAAUCGAAGCCCCAGUAAACGGCGGCCGUAACUAUAACGGUCCUAAGGUAGCGAAAUUCCUUGUCGGGUAAGUUCCGACCCGCACGAAAGGCGUAACGAUUUGGGCACUGUCUCAACGAGAGACUCGGUGAAAUCAUAGUACCUGUGAAGAUGCAGGUUACCCGCGACAGGACGGAAAGACCCCGUGGAGCUUUACUGUAGCCUGAUAUUGAAAUUCGGCACAGCUUGUACAGGAUAGGUAGGAGCCUUUGAAACGUGAGCGCUAGCUUACGUGGAGGCGCUGGUGGGAUACUACCCUAGCUGUGUUGGCUUUCUAACCCGCACCACUUAUCGUGGUGGGAGACAGUGUCAGGCGGGCAGUUUGACUGGGGCGGUCGCCUCCUAAAAGGUAACGGAGGCGCUCAAAGGUUCCCUCAGAAUGGUUGGAAAUCAUUCAUAGAGUGUAAAGGCAUAAGGGAGCUUGACUGCGAGACCUACAAGUCGAGCAGGGUCGAAAGACGGACUUAGUGAUCCGGUGGUUCCGCAUGGAAGGGCCAUCGCUCAACGGAUAAAAGCUACCCCGGGGAUAACAGGCUUAUCUCCCCCAAGAGUUCACAUCGACGGGGAGGUUUGGCACCUCGAUGUCGGCUCAUCGCAUCCUGGGGCUGUAGUCGGUCCCAAGGGUUGGGCUGUUCGCCCAUUAAAGCGGUACGCGAGCUGGGUUCAGAACGUCGUGAGACAGUUCGGUCCCUAUCCGUCGUGGGCGUAGGAAAUUUGAGAGGAGCUGUCCUUAGUACGAGAGGACCGGGAUGGACAUACCUCUGGUGUACCAGUUGUCGUGCCAACGGCAUAGCUGGGUAGCUAUGUGUGGACGGGAUAAGUGCUGAAAGCAUCUAAGCAUGAAGCCCCCCUCAAGAUGAGAUUUCCCAACUUCGGUUAUAAGAUCCCU
rnacentral:rRNA from 1 species